AUUGAACGCUGGCGGCAUGCCUUACACAUGCAAGUCGAACGGCAGCGGGCCUUCGGGUGCCGGCGAGUGGCGAACGGGUGAGUAAUGCAUCGGAACGUGCCAUUGAGUGGGGGAUAACGUAGCGAAAGUUACGCUAAUACCGCAUAUUCUGUGAGCAGGAAAGCAGGGGACCGCAAGGCCUUGCGCUCUUUGAGCGGCCGAUGUCAGAUUAGCUAGUUGGUGAGGGAAAGGCUUACCAAGGCGACGAUCUGUAGCGGGUCUGAGAGGAUGAUCCGCCACACUGGAACUGAGACACGGUCCAGACUCCUACGGGAGGCAGCAGUGGGGAAUUUUGGACAAUGGGCGCAAGCCUGAUCCAGCCAUGCCGCGUGAGUGAAGAAGGCCUUCGGGUUGGUUAAA
rnacentral:rRNA from 1 species